rnacentral:misc_RNA from 1 species
UACGAAGGGCCCGAGCGUUAAGCGGAGUUACUGGGCUUAAAGGGUGCGUAGGCGGACGCGUAAGUGUCUUGUGAAAGCCCACGGCUCAACCGUGGAAUUGCAGGGCAAACUGCGUGUCUUGAGGCCAGCAGGGGCUGCCGGAACUCUAGGUGUAGCGGUGAAAUGCGUAGAUAUCUAGAGGAACGCCGAUGGUGAAGACGGGCAGCUGGGCUGGUUCUGACGCUGAGGCACGAAAGCGUGGGGAGCGAACAGG